rnacentral:rRNA from 1 species
GAUGAACGCUGGCGGCGUGCCUAAUACAUGCAAGUCGAGCGAACGGACGAGAAGCUUGCUUCUCUGAUGUUAGCGGCGGACGGGUGAGUAACACGUGGAUAACCUACCUAUAAGACUGGGAUAACUUCGGGAAACCGGAGCUAAUACCGGAUGAUAUUUUGAACCGCAUGGUUCAAAAGUGAAAGACGGUCUUGCUGUCACUUAUAGAUGGAUCCGCGCUGCAUUAGCUAGUUGGUAAGGUAACGGCUUACCAAGGCAACGAUGCAUAGCCGACCUGAGAGGGUGAUCGGCCACACUAGAACUGAGACACGGUCCAGACUCCUACGAGAGGCAGCAGUAGGGAAUCUUCCGCAAUGGGCGAAAGCCUGACGGAGCAACGCCGCGUGAGUGAUGAAGGUCUUCGGAUCGUAAAACUCUGUUAUUAGGGAAGAACAUAUGUGUAAGUAACUGUGCACAUCUUGACGGUACCUAAUCAGAAAGCCACGGCUAACUACGUG